CGGACCCCGGGCGGGCGCAGGGCGCGGGCUCCGGCGCCGCCGCUGCGUCCUCCCCGGCCGCGGGCGAGCCGCUGCAGAGGGAGCGUCGCGCCGGGGCGGAGUGCGGGCUUGCGCGGCAAGUGCGCGCCGAGGUCACGAAAUGGAUUGGAGUGAACCGGAGACCCCGAAAACGGAAGCGCAGGGAGAAGGAAGAGGUGUUUGAAAAGUUUUGAUUUGAAGUUCCUUUAAAGGCUGUUGGAGCUUUUGCAAAUACCCAGCUAAUGAAAGGCACUUAAGAUUGGGCCCAUGUGCAUCAUCACAUUGAAGUUUUCUGUCUAAAGGAAGGUUCCAGCUACCUGUUACCCUUUUGCUAAACACAGUUGCAGUGUUGCAGUGUAUUUCAUGACAAAAGUGUACUCUAGUUUUCUGUGAAAUGAUUAUUUUCUCUGAAAUGAUUCUUGGUCAUGUUGAGCUUCUAAAUGUUAAAGAGAACAUAGUGCUUUUGACCUGUGGAAAUCUCAUCUUGGUACCAUGGUGCUGCACAGACCAUCAGGAAGAACUGAAAAGUUCAGGCAACUUGAGAAAAUAAAGUCACCACCAGCAAGAAGCUGUCUAAAAUAACCGGAAGAUUAUAACCCAAGCACGUGGAGGAGUGUGCUAGUGAGUAGAAUGUUAUGAAAGCUACUAGAGGUCCUCCAUAGAUGCAUGUGCUAGUCCUAAGGAGAAGGAAGAGGAGAAGGAUUGCCACGGAGGAACACCUGAAGUUUCAGUUGAGCACUUUGUUUGGAAAGUUGUCCAAGGCUGGAGUUGUGAGAGCUGGGAAAGACCUCACAAGCUUCUCUAAUUCAAGUCCUUGUUUCACAUAUGAGAAUGCAGAGGCCCUGAGAAGUUGAUUCCCAGGCCUGCAUGCUGGCCUGGAACUAGAGCCUGGGUCUCCUCUUGCUUUUUCCAGCUGUCUGCCCAGGUAGCUCCCCAAGGCAGGCAUGGAGGCAGAGCUGCUUUGGGUUCCAGGUAAGGAGAGAUGUGUCCAGGUGGCCUUUGUUGUAUUGUGGGGCACAGACACUGAGGGAGACAGGGAAAGGUCUGGGAGACACAAGAUGGUACCCCAGAAGGCCAUCCUUUGUAGACUAGACACACAUCCAAAGGGAGGGCUGUUUCCUGGCUUAUUGAGGACUUUUCCAUUUGGGCUAGAAGUAAACUGAGUCAGAUUUUGAGAGAUCAGUAAUUCCAAAGAGCAGAUAAGGAUUCUAUAGUAACACAGCUGGGUUCACUGCACGGGUUGAUGUCAAAUUGUGCUUUUCAUGUUACAUUAGUGGAUUUUACAAGGCACAGAUUAUUUGACAUUUUUGUGAUGCUUGUUAUAGACCAACUGUGACAUGACAG
rnacentral:lncRNA from 10 species